CCUGAAUUCCAGACAAGACACUGGGGCUUGGGGACACCAUCAGAACAGCCACAGCUGUGCUGGAUUCUGUGGCACUGAUGUGUUCUCCACAGGUCCUCGUGCGGACAGAGC
ensembl:miRNA